rnacentral:rRNA from 1 species
CACGUAGGGGGCGAGCGUUGUCCGGAAUCAUUGGGCGUAAAGAGCUCGUAGGCGGCUCGGUAAGUCGGGUGUGAAACGCCGGGGCUCAACCCCGGGACUGCGUCCGAUACUUCCGAGCUGGAGGUAGGUAGGGGAGAUCGGAAUUCCUGGUGUAGCGGUGAAAUGCGCAGAUAUCGGGAGGAACACCUAUGGCGAAGGCAGCUCGCUGGGACGUUACUGACGCUGAGACGCGAAAGCGUGGGGAGCAAACAGG